GGACAUUAAAGACAACUAUAACAUGAUGAAGAAAAAUUACUUGGAACAAAGAGGCUGGACAAAAGGCAGCGUGACUGAAUGAAGAUUUAAAAUCACACAACGUCAUAAAGCAGCAGCUGGGCCUGAUUCUCACAAACCAGCAAAACCAAAACAGACGUGAUGAAAUUCCAGAUGUAAACACAUUUGACCUUCCUUUGUCCAAUUUUACUUGGAAAAGCUUAAAUCAACUAAAGGAGCAGCCCGAACAAAUGAAGAAACUGGUAGCCUACUUUGGAAUCAUUGGUGUUUUCCACCAAGCAGUUGGCCGUAUCCUGGAAAAGAUUUUGGUUAACUCCUUGGCUAAACAAAUUAACUGAAGCGGGCCAAAUUAAAAAGUGGCCUUUCGUGCACUCCCCCUUAGGACUGUCGUAGUCAGUAAGUUGGUUUUGAAUAUACAUUUUAAUACAAUUAGGGGCCGUUUCAUCUGUGCAUUUCUUUGAAUUAUUCACCAGAGGAAUUCCGAUUCCGGCGCGGAUGCGGCAGCGUCAGCUCGCUUACGGCCGCUGCAUCUGGCCCGAUUGGUUCGGGCAGUGAGUCCACAGCCAACGAGUGGUAAGUCUCCGGCAGGCCACAAUCUAGCCAGAACUGGCCCGAGUGUAUUUUGCCAUAUUGAUAACAUGUAUAAGUAUGGUAAUAAUCUGUAUAACUACCAUAAUAAGUUGUGUAAUUACAUAAAUAACUUGUAUAAAUAAAGUAAUAACAUGUAUAAUCACAGUAAUAACCUGUAAAACUACCAUAAUAAUGUGUGUAAUUACAUAAAUAACUUGUAUAAUUAAAGUAAUAACAUGUAUAUUUACAGAAAUAACCUGUAUAACUACCAUAAUAACUUGUAUAAUUACAUAAAUAACUCGUAUAAUUACAGUUAUAACAUGUAUAAUUAAGGUAAUAACCUGUAACUCUAAAACAGAAAACGACUGUUUUUUAACAGUUUAUCUACAUCUUUUAUUAAUACAGUUUUUUUUGUAUUUUAACGUUUUUUUUCUGGCGCCCCUGCUGCCAGAAAAAAAAACGUUUUUUUACAGGGAUUUUUUUUACAGUGCAGCUCACUUUUCUCCAAGAGUCCAACUGCUGCCCAGGUUGCUGAGAAAGUGUUGAUCAACCGUCUGCUACAGGCACUUCCUUGCCAAUAGUUGCCACUAGCCACAGCCAUGUCACCCUGCAGCCAAAGACCAUUAACUCACUGAAGCUAAGCUGGGCUGAGCCUGGUCAGUACCUGGAUGGGAGACCACUAGGGAACACUAGGUUGCUGUUGGAAGUGGUGUUAGUAAGGCCAGCAGGGGGCGCUCAACCUGAGGUCUGCAUGAGUCCUAAUGUCCUAGUAAAAGUGAAAGGGAUACUACAGUGUCAGUGGGCGCUGUCUUUUAGAUGAGCUGUUAAACCGAGGUCCUGACUCUCUGUGCUCAUUAAUAAUCCCAUGGCACUUCUCGUGAAAGAGCAGGGGUGUAACCCCGGUGUC